CAGAGCACAGGAGCUGACAGGAAGUGACCAGAGACAGAGCACAGGAAGUGACCAGAGACAGAGCACAGCUGCUGCAUGCGCUCUACUCACUGAUGAUUUCCUGAUCUUUAAAUAAAAGAAAUAAACCUGAACUCAGGUCUUGUUGGAUUCCUGCAUCCUGACCCGAUGACACCAAAAUAUGUUGCAGCCAGAAACUGAGGCGGACUCUGAAAGGUCGUUUCACUUCUCUUCACUUUAUUGAAGCGUUUAACAAAAACCCAGAACCUUCAUUCACUCUGAGUCUCUUCAGCUGCUCAAUAAUCACUACAGCUUUCUUACUAACUCAGGAGCAUCACAACAACAACACUCUUCUUCUCCUGCAUGUCACUGUCACUCACAGACUCCACCUAGUGGUGUAGAUUAUGCAGCGCAUUUAAUUAAUAACAUGUCAACAUCAACUGCUUAAAUAAUGUUGCAGUUCAGAAAAA